GACGAACGCUGGCGGCGUGCUUAACACAUGCAAGUCGAACGAGAUCCAAUGUGUAGCAAUACACAGGAAGAUCUAGUGGCGAACGGGUGAGGAACACGUGAGAAACGUACCCCAGACUUUGGGAUAACAGUCCGAAAGGACUGCUAAUACCAACUAACGUCGGAAGUCCGCAUGGACAUCUGACGAAAGGGAUUCCGGUUUGGGAGCGUCUGGCGGACCUAUCAGCUAGUUGGAGGGGUAACGGCCCACCAAGGCAACGACGGGUAGCUGGUCUGAGAGGAUGGUCAGCAACACUGGGACUGAGACACGGCCCAGACUCCUACGGGAGGAAGCAGUGGGGAAUCUUGCGCAAUGGGCGAAAGCCUGACGCAGCAACGCCGCGUGCGGGAAGAAGGCUUUCGGGCUGUAAACCGCUUUCAGUAGGAACGAAACUGACGGUACCUACAGAAGAAGGAGCGGCCAACUAGGUG
rnacentral:rRNA from 1 species